GAGUUUGAUCAUGGCUCAGGAUGAACGCUGGCGGCGUGCUUAACACAUGCAAGUCGAACGGACCAUAUUCGUAUGGUUAGUGGCAGACGGGUGCGUAACACGUGGGUGACCUGCCCUCAAGUGGGGAACAACUCCGCUAACGCGGAGCUAAUACCGCAUAUGUUCGCUUUUUCAGUAAGGCGAGUAAAGCAGUAAUGCGCUUGGGGAUGGGCCUGCGGCGGAUUAGCUAGUUGGUGGGGUAACGGCCUACCAAGGCGAUGAUCCGUAGGGGGCGUGAGAGCGUGGCCCCCCACACUGGCACUGAGACACGGGCCAGACUCCUACGGGAGGCAGCAGUGAGGAAUAUUGCACAAUGGGCGCAAGCCUGAUGCAGCAACGCCGCGUGAGGGACGAAGGCCUUCGGGUCGUAAACCUCUUUUCUGGGGGACGAGUAAGGACGGUACCUCAGGAAUAAGUCUCGGCUAACUACGUGCCAGCAGCCGCGGUAAAACGUAGGAGGCGAGCGUUAUCCGGAUUUACUGGGCGUAAAGCGUACGCAGGUGGCUUCGUGAGUCGGACAUGAAAGCUCCCGGCUUAACUGGGAGAGGUUGUUCGAUACUGCGGGGCUUGAGGUUGGGAGAGGGACGUGGAAUUCCCGGUGUAGUGGUGGAAUGCGUAGAUAUCGGGAGGAACACCAGUGGCGCAAGCGGCGUCCUGGCCCACACCUGACGCUGAGGUACGAAAGCGUGGGUAGCAAACAGGAUUAGAUACCCUGGUAGUCCACGCUGUAAACGAUGUCAACUGGGUGUCGGUAGUUUUACACUAUCGGUGCCGAAGCUAACGCGUUAAGUUGACCGCCUGGGGACUACGGCCGCAAGGCU
rnacentral:rRNA from 1 species